rnacentral:rRNA from 1 species
GAACGAACGCUGGCGGCGCGCCUAAUACAUGCAAGUCGAACGAGAAGCUGUAGCAAUACAGUUGUACAGUGGCGAACGGGUGAGGAAUACAUGGGUGACCUACCCUCGAGUGGGGAAUAACCAGCCGAAAGGUUGGCUAAUACCGCGUACGCUUCCCAGUCUACGGGUUGGGAAGGAAAGCGAUGCCGUGGGUAUCGCGCUCAAGGUUGGGCUCAUGUCCUAUCAGCUUGGGUGGGUAACGGCUCACCAAGGCAACGACGGGUAGCUGGUCUGAGAGGACGAUCAGCCACACUGGCACUGCGAC